CUUUAUGUUAGUUUCUCUCAUAUAAUUAUCAUCAUGUAUGUAUUCCUCUUUUCUCACUCUGUAAUAUCUCUGCUCUCAUCCUCAUAGCUGAAGGUGUUCAUUUAAAGAUCGAUCCGAGUGAAUCGACUGACUGAAUAUGACAGUAACUGAUGUAGACGAGCAGAUUCCUCCUCAAGUGUGCUGAGAUUGAUCCGCGUCUCUCCGUGAGCGAUGGCCAUGUGUUCGGCAGGAGGAGGGUCUGUUCCACUGACACCAGCAGAGAUUGAAAGAUCUGCACAAUAGGGGCGCAGCUGCAGAAAUGAGAACUGGACUGAAGACUGGCUCCAUGAUUUCUAGGAACACAAGCUGUAUCAGCAAACAAUUUUAUGGUGAAACGUGACCUGCACUUGUUUUCGUGAGAUUCACCCAGUGAACUUUCAUCUGAAGACAUCCAGGUGGAAGAACAUCCCCUUAAUAUGCUUUAUUUUAAAGCUUUCAUCACUGCAAGAAAAAGGGCACAUUCUGUCCAUUCCCAGGCAUUGGAUAUGCCUCGAGUGUCCCCAGCCGUCAGGAAGAGGGCCAUUGGCAUGCUGCAGGCAAAGCAUGUCAGGUGCCAACAUAGCCAGACAUUAUGGAAUAAAUCAUUCCACUGCGUCCCAACUGGCUUCAGCAGAGCUGAUGACCUUCCAAGAUCCGAUCAACCUCCAGUUACCAAACCAGAGCAGACCAACAAAUCAGAACGCUUCAUCUCUGAGGUUUCAGUCUUCCUUACUGCGGCAGAAACCAUGCGGUCAGGGUUUAGCUGGUUAGUCCCUGAUGCUGUAAAACUAUGGGGGGAAAACUGAUGGACAUGCAACAUUGCAGAGUGUUCUGUUAUCAAAUACAGACACUAAUACAGACACCCAGCAUGACUAUCUGAGAGAUGCAUGCUUUGUUUGUGUUUGUGUGAUGUAUGACAGAACUUUUAAUGCAUCUCCUACAUUUUCAUCAGUGAAUUGCCAAACAUAUUAAAUUAGCGAUGAUGAAUAUGCUGUAAAUGAUCAAGCUGACAGAGAGAGGUGUUUGUAAUUCUGUAAAACAGAUUCAUUCUGCCUCAUUAGUGCUGUUUGCUUAGCAACCAUCACUGCUACUGUUGCUCAGUGAUUUGUCCUACAGACUGAAUGAUAUCUCAAGUCAUGUGACUUCUUGUAGGCAACCCCCGGGAACACCCUAGCAACGCCCUGGAUUCUGGAAUCAUGGUGGUGAGUUUCACACACACAUUUUCUUCAGAAAAUUAAAAAAAUCACCAAUGAGCAUUGAGGCAAAUGAUUUACGUGCUUAUAUUUAUUAUGUUUCUGAUGUUAUGUGCCUCACAAGUGUUUCCCAUCUUGGCUUUUUGAAUUAUACAUUUAAUCUAAAAGUAUCUUUGAGUACACAGUUUACCAUAAUCAUAGCACUUGUUCCAACUGUCCCUGAGGUAAAAUUAUAAACGAGUGUCCACUCCAGAGCCGCUCUGAGAUGCAGAGAUCUGAGAGAAAGUACACAGAUACAUUUAUGUAUGUUUUCAUGCAUUAUUUAUAUAUUACAGCAGAGAGUAAAGAUGGGCACAAUGUGAAGGUGUUACAUGAUGGAGAAGCUUCUAUCUAUCUAUCUAUCUAUCUAUCUAUCUAUCUAUCUAUCUAUCUAUCUAUCUAUCUA